rnacentral:rRNA from 1 species
CCUACGGGAGGCUGCAGUGAGGAAUAUUGGUCAAUGGCCGGGAGGCUGAACCAGCCAAGUCGCGUGAGGGAAGACGGCCCUACGGGUUGUAAACCUCUUUUGUCAGGGAGCAAGGUGCAGGUCGGGACCUGCUGUGAGAGUACCUGAAGAAAAAGCAUCGGCUAACUCCGUGCCAGCAGCCGCGGUAAUACGGAGGAUGCGAGCGUUAUCCGGAUUUAUGGGGUUAAAGGGGUGCGCAGGCGGAGGCACAAGUCAGCGGUAAAAUCGCGGGGCUCAACCCCGCUCCGCCGUUGAAACUGUGUCCAUUGAGUGCGGGAAGGGUAGGCGGAAUGCGUGGUGUAGCGGUGAAAUGCAUAGAUAUCACGCAGAACUCCGAUCGCGAAGGCAGCCUACCGGCGCGCAACUGACGCUCAUGCACGAAAGCGUGGGUAUCGAACAGGAUUAGAUACCCCAGUAGUC